rnacentral:rRNA from 1 species
GAUGAACGCUGGCGGCGUGCCUAAUACAUGCCGGUCGAGCGAACAGAUGAGGAGCUUGCUCCUCUGACGUUAGCGGCGGACGGGUGAGUAACACGUGGAUAACCUACCUAUAAGACUGGGAUAACUUCGGGAAACCGGAGCUAAUACCGGAUAAUAUAUUGAACCGCAUGGUUCAAUAGUGAAAGACGGUUUUGCUGUCACUUAUAGAUGGAUCCGCGCCGCAUUAGCUAGUUGGUAAGGUAACGGCUUACCAAGGCAACGAUGCGUAGCCGACCUGAGAGGGUGAUCGGCCACACUGGAACUGAGACACGGUCCAGACUCCUACGGGAGGCAGCAGUAGGGAAUCUUCCGCAAUGGGCGAAAGCCUGACGGAGCAACGCCGCGUGAGUGAUGAAGGUCUUCGGAUCGUAAAACUCUGUUAUUAGGGAAGAACAAAUGUGUAAGUAACUAUGCACGUCUUGACGGUACCUAAUCAGAAAGCCACGGCUAACUACGUG